CACGUAGGGCGCAAGCGUUGUCCGGAAUUAUUGGGCGUAAAGAGCUCGUAGGCGGUUUGUCGCGUCGGCUGUGAAAACUCGGGGCUCAACCCCGAGCCUGCAGUCGAUACGGGCAGACUAGAGUGCUGUAGGGGAGACUGGAAUUCCUGGUGUAGCGGUGAAAUGCGUAGAUAUCGGGAGGAACACCAGUGGCGAAGGCGACUACCUGGCCUGUUCUUGACGCUGAGGCGCGAAAGCUAGGGGAGCAAACGGG
rnacentral:rRNA from 1 species